GACGAACGCUGGCGGUGUGCUUAACACAUGCAAGUCGAACGGUGAAAGCGGAGCUUGCUCCGCUGGAUCAGUGGCGAACGGGUGAGUAACACGUGGGCAACCUGCCCCUCACUUCGGGAUAACUCCGGGAAACCGGGGCUAAUACCGGAUAUGACCUCCUUGGGCAUCCUUGGAGGUGGAAAGUUUUUCGGUGAGGGAUGGGCCCGCGUCCUAUCAGCUUGUUGGUGAGGUAGUGGCUCACCAAGGCGACGACGGGUAGCCGGCCUGAGAGGGGGACCGGCCACACUGGGACUGAGACACGGCCCAGACUCCUACGGGAGGCAGCAGUGGGGAAUAUUGCGCAAUGGGCGAAAGCCUGACGCAGCAACGCCGCGUGCGGGAUGACGGCCUUCGGGUUGUAAACCGCUUUCAGCAGGGAAGAAGCCGCAAGGUGACGGUACCUGCAGAAGAAGCACCGGCUAACUACGUGCCAGCCGCCGCAGUAA
rnacentral:rRNA from 1 species